UUAUUAAUUUAAUUUGGAUUUAAAUUAAAUAAUUGGAAUUUUAGUAUUUUUAUUUGGAAUUAUUUGGAAAAUGAUGAAAUAUUGGCAUUGGGCCUAGAGUGGUGGUUAGCAGUAAGGGGGUGUUAACUAAGCAAGCCCAUUAUAAUAUUUUAUUUUAUUUUUCAUAAAAUAAAGGAAUUGGGAAAAGAGAAGCAGUAGAAGCAGAUUUUGGAAAAAAGAGAACACGUGAAAGUGAGAAGAGCCAAAGGGGGAGAAGAACUUCGAAGAUUCGACUCUGAGAUUAAGGAUGUAGCGGCGUCUUGAUUGGGUGAAGAUAGCUUGUAAGCUAGCCCGUAGUUCGUGUCGAGUCAUGCUCUGAUUGUAACACUGGGAAACGAUAGUUUAGAGACGAAUUAUUAUGUCGGUCUUUGUUGUUUUAUAAUUGUAUUAGAGAACUUGCAUGAAUGAUGAUGAAUAUGCAAUGUUAUGAAUUAUAAUCCGCUGUGUUGAACAUGAAUUGUAAUUAUGUUAAGUGGUUCCUCGUGUAGCAUGACAAAUGACUAUGGUAUUUUAUGUUAAAGAAGUUGUGACAUCCUUGUAUUUCAUGUUUACUCUGAAUAUUAUUCUAUUUUCCGCGGGGGUUUAGAAGGGUGUUACAAUAGUGGUAUCAGAGCAUAGUCGGUCCUUGUGACCAGAGUCUUAUUGUUAAUUCCUGUCGGUACGCGACAUGUGUGAGAAACACUGUCGGUACUCAGUGUGUUCUAACGGUUUGCUUGCAGAAGUGGGAUUGAGACUAGUGGGGGAGAAGUCAUGCUUCUCGGAUAUGUCUCAGAUGCAAGAUGUUAGAGUGAUGCGUAUGGCAGCAGUACAAGAGUGUAGAGUUAUUGUUUUCCGAAGUGAAGGUGACUUGGGCUGAAGACUGUGGUUGUUAUUCAGUCGGAGUGUCUCGGAGUAGAUGAUGGUUAUUUCUGAGAAAUGGAAUUUCGAAGUUGGGGUGCUUCAAGUGCUACUGACGUACUGUGAUGUUGUUGUGUGAGUAGCCCUAUGUAAAAGGUCGCUGUUGAAGCAGUGAUUAAAGGAAGUAUGGUUGUAGACCUUGUCGUAGGAUUACUAGUAAGUAAUUGAGAUGAUAGUAGAGGUUAUCGAUGUUGUUGAGAAAGUUUCGAAGUGUGAGUAAUGCAAAGAGAUGAGUAUAAUCUCAAGGAUAAGAAGGUUGAUGAUGGCGUACAUGAAUUUGGUUUCAGGAUGUUGUAGAAAUCGAGCUUCAACGAUGAAAUGUGUUGUUUAAGUUGUAAGAAGUUUGGAAGCGAAGAGAUGUGAUAAGAUAAUGUUAAUAAUGAGAUUAAUUUGAAAAGGAUGAGUUUUGGAGCAGAAUUUCCAUAAGCAAAUCGCAGGAAGAUUGUUAAAUCGUUAUGAAACUUCGAAAAUUCAUAACUGGAGUUCUGGACAUCCGAUUUGAGUUCCGUUUGAAGCGUCGGAAAGCUAAAGAGAUGGAGUUUGUUAUAAAAAUGGUUUCAGCAGCUGUAACAUAUUUAAUUGUGACAGGGUGUUGUUGGAAAGAGGUGGAGUUACGGUUACACUUGUCCUUAGAACUAGAUUGUUCGUUGGUGCGACAUGGGAUGUCAGUGUCAGAGUUAAACAGAAUAAAGGAAUAAUGAGGAGGCUUGUUGAGAAGCAAUCUUAGAGAUUAAAUGUGCCAAUUGAGAAGUUUUGGAGAUGUCGUAUAGGGUUUUGUUGCAUGGUGUCGGUAUUGUAUCUUGGAUAACGAUUGGAAACAUUCAUGUCUUGAGCUCUGAGUAUCGGAUUAAGGUACCGUUUGAAACCACGAAGAGGAGAGAUUAUGUUCUACAUUGUGGGAGAGUUAUAAAUACAGUAGAAUGGUCCUAUGAUGAGAUAUUAUGAUGUCGGUUAAAGAAGCACGAAAAAAGUGUUGAAUAGGAAUGCUUAUUACCGCGAUUGUUCGGAACGAAGUCGAGUAGAAUAUGUCCUUGAUAAAUAAGAUGAUAAGGAUGAUUUAAAUAUUGAUGGAUUUGAGUGAUGAAGGAAUCAAUAGAAAAAGUGAAAUAGAAUUUGGAACCAUUUGUGGUAUAUUGUGAUGCGUCGUUGAUGGGUUUGGAUGGUGUAUUGAUGUAAAAUCAGUAAGUAGUAACUUAUGCGUCGGGACGAUUGAAAGCGCAGGAAGGGAAUUAUCCGACCCAUGACUUAGAGUUGACGACUGUGGUUUUGUUUGUGGCAACAUUAUUUGUAUGGUUUGUGAUUGGAAGUGUUUAGUGAUCAUAAGAGUCCGGAGUACCCAUUUGAUCAGCAAGGGCUUAAUGUGAAGCAAUAGACAUGGUUAGAUUUUUCUUGGAUUAUCAUCUUGGUGAGGAAGAUGUUGUGUCAAUGCACUGAGUAGGGAACCUCUAAAAAUGUCGAUGCUGAUGGAGAAAGAGUUGGAUUUAAUUGAACAAUUUAGAGAACUAAGUUUGGUAUGUGAAAGUGCUCCUAAUAAUGUUAGAUUGGGUAUACUGAAACUGACUAAUGGUAUUCCUGACGAGGAUAGAGAAAGUCAGAAAGCUGAUGUUGAGUUGAUCGAUAAGUCGACUUUGGAUUACCAAGGUAAAGAUGACGGACUCAGAAUUGACGAGGAUGGUAUAAUGAGGUUGGUGGUCGCUGUUGUGUUCCGCGUGUUACCGAGUUGAGAAAGAAUAUUCUAGAAGAAGGACACCAUAGAGAAUUAUUAGACUAUGACAAUGUUGAUGAGUUUGGGUGCAAACUCGGAAAAGACGCUAUUAUGUAGUAACAACGGUCUAUGCUUAAAUAUGAUUGUCGGCUAUCUAUUGACAAAUUGAGGACUUGAUCACCCUUAAUCUCUUGUUGAUAAUAGGCGGAAUUAUAAAGAUAGUAUAAGAUUGCUUGUUACCUUAAUGGUAUAAGAUGUGACGAAUGCUGAGAUGUGAGAAUGACCACUCACCAUAUUGUGGGAACUUAUGAGGAAGUGAAUAUGAAGGAGUGCAAAGUAUUGGACGGUGACUUAAGACGAGUAGUCGUAGUCGUACAACGAAAGUAUGAUGUAGAGUGGUGUUAUGAGUGCUACUCGUGAGCAGUGAGGAAUUAAUAUGUCGGAAUCCUACAUGGAGAAUAUGUGUUGAUCUAUAGGUUGAAUUUGGAAUCUCAUAGACAUAAGGAUGUCGUGCCCAAGGAUUAGAACCCUUUUGAAUAAUUGCCGAGAUGAUGGAUAUCCUAUUAUGGUUGAAUGUAGUUAACGAGUAUGUAUUUGGAGAAGUUAAGACGAAGAGUUGAUGCUACAUGAUGCUAUAAUAAUCUUGUGAUGUUGUAAGGUGUUAUGUAGAUUUCUAAAUGUAAUGAGGGAUUAUACUCUAUGAAGGAUGAAGCUGAUUUGAUUCUUAGUGGAGAGUGGGACUCAGUUGAGCUAUCUUGUAAGCAAUGGUAUAUUGAGGAUGAUGAGCUAUGUAAUUAUAACUACUGAUGUGUGCUUGUUCCGAUAGUGGGAAUGUUUUUAAUAGAUGAAGUAACUCGGGAACUUGCUCUGAGUAAGUGUAAGUAUUACUUUAUCGCUCAAUUGGAAGAGUGUGCCUAAGGUUGGUACGUGGGUAAAUGGAAUCUAUUACUACAGUGUUGAUCAGUUGUGAUCAUACCAUGGAUUAUGUAAUUGUAUUAUUCAGUUGUUGAGCGUAUUGUAUGGAUCGUACCUCGAAGUUUCAUUGUUGUUAACCGUUGGAGUUAUAGCAAGUGGUACACCUGGGGAUGGUCAAAUGCAACGUAAGAACUGAAUUGAAUGCAUGAGAUAUGCUUGUGUUGGUUAUGUCAGAUGAAUUUUGAGACUCGACCAAGAAGGUGUUAACGGAGAACGGGAGAGUCAAAUGAAGCACUCUUAUUUGGGACUUUUACUUGAAGUAUGUUUUCGAGGACGAAAACUCUUUUAGUGGGGGAGAGUUGUAACACCCCAUAAUUUCAGUUUAUUAAUUUAAUUUGGAUUUAAAUUAAAUAAUUGGAAUUUUAGUAUUUUUAUUUGGAAUUAUUUGGAAAAUGAUGAAAUAUUGGCAUUGGGCCUAGAGUGGUGGUUAGCAGUAAGGGGGUGUUAACUAAGCAAGCCCAUUAUAAUAUUUUAUUUUAUUUUUCAUAAAAUAAAGGAAUUGGGAAAAGAGAAGCAGUAGAAGCAGAUUUUGGAAAAAAGAGAACACGUGAAAGUGAGAAGAGCCAAAGGGGGAGAAGAACUUCGAAGAUUCGACUCUGAGAUUAAGGAUGUAGCGGCGUCUUGAUUGGGUGAAGAUAGCUUGUAAGCUAGCCCGUAGUUCGUGUCGAGUCAUGCUCUGAUUGUAACACUGGGAAACGAUAGUUUAGAGACGAAUUAUUAUGUCGGUCUUUGUUGUUUUAUAAUUGUAUUAGAGAACUUGCAUGAAUGAUGAUGAAUAUGCAAUGUUAUGAAUUAUAAUCCGCUGUGUUGAACAUGAAUUGUAAUUAUGUUAAGUGGUUCCUCGUGUAGCAUGACAAAUGACUAUGGUAUUUUAUGUUAAAGAAGU